rnacentral:rRNA from 1 species
GACGAACGCUGGCGGCGUGCCUAAUACAUGCAAGUCGAGCGAAUGGAUUAAGAGCUUGCUCUUAUGAAGUUAGCGGCGGACGGGUGAGUAACACGUGGGUAACCUGCCCAUAAGACUGGGAUAACUCCGGGAAACCGGGGCUAAUACCGGAUAACAUUUUGAACCGCAUGGUUCGAAAUUGAAAGGCGGCUUCGGCUGUCACUUAUGGAUGGACCCGCGUCGCAUUAGCUAGUUGGUGAGGUAACGGCUCACCAAGGCAACGAUGCGUAGCCGACCUGAGAGGGUGAUGGGCCACACAGGGACUAAGACACGGCCCAGACUCCUACGGGAGGCAGCAGUAGGGAAUCUUCCGCAAUGGACGAAAGUCUGACGGAGAAACGCCGCGUGAGUGAUGAAGUCUUUCGGGUCGUAAAACUCUGUUGUUAGGGAAGAACAAGUGCUAGUUGAAUAAGCUGGCACCUUGACGGUACCUAACCAGAAAGCCACGGCUAACUACGUGCCAGCCGCCGCGGUAA